rnacentral:rRNA from 1 species
CGCAAGUGCGAUAAGGGGACCCCAAGUGCGAGGGCAUAUAGUCCUCGCUUUUUCCGACCGUAAGGUGGUCGGCGAAUAAGGGCUGGGCAAGACCGGUGCCAGCCGCCGCGGUAAUACCGGCAGCCCAAGUGAUGACCGAUAUUAUUGGGCCUAAAGCGUCCGUAGCCGGCCACGAAGGUYCAUCGGGAAAUCCGCCAGCUUAACUGGCGGGCGUCCGGUGRAAACCACGUGGCUUGGGACCGGAAGGCUCGAGGGGUACGUCCGGGGUAGGAGUGAAAUCCCGUAAUCCUGGACGGACCACCGAUGGCGAAAGCACCUCGAGAAGACGGAUCCGACGGUGAGGGACGAAAGCUAGGGUCUCGAACCGGAUUAGAUACCCGGGUAGUCCUAGCUGUAAACGAUGCUCGCUAGGUGUGGCACAGGCUACGAGCCUGUGCUGUGCCGUAGGGAAGCCGAGAAGCGAGCCGCCUGGGAAGUACGUCCG